rnacentral:lncRNA from 1 species
CUGCACAAGCUCUCUCUCUUUGCCUGCUGCCAUCCAUGUUGAGAUGUGACUUGCUCCUCCUUGCCUUCUGCCAUGAUUGUGAGGCUUCCCCAGUCACGUCGAACUGAUUCUCAUGAGGACAAAUUAGAGCACCUGUCACUAUAGCCAGCACUCAAGAAAUGGGAUUAUCAUCAGAGGGAAAAAUGCACAGCCUCACCAGCUAUUAAACAUAUGGAAAUGAUGACAAUUUAAAGCUUAUAAAUAACAUUAGCGGUGGCUUGGAUUUAUUGUUGUGGCCUCCGGAAGAACUUGGGCACAGUGUAACUUCCUGGGGCCCGAGGUUGUUAAUCGGUGAAUUGUUCAUGAAGGACAGUGCUCACUGUGAAGGUGGGUGUCCUGGGAUGCUCUGCCUGGCCCGCGGGAGACAAGGCUAUGGUCUGACAUCCCUCAGCCUGUCCUCAUUGUCCUGGCUCUGAGAAGAAGCUACAAAACACAGUAGAAGAAAAAGAAAACAGUCUUUUAAAGACUUGUAAUGAGUUGUUAAUGAUAAAAGUAACACAUGCCAACUGGAAAAAUGUGAAUUUUUUAUCUCAGCCAAAAGUAUAAAGAUACUUCGAUUUCUUUAAAAACUUAUGGAAAUCUGUUGUUGUAUGCAUAGAUUGUUGAAUACAUCUCUGCUUAUUUAAACUCCUGAAAGUCUUAUCAAUGAGGUCAAAAGGCAGGAACAGGUUGUUUGUUGUUGUUGGUUAUUUGUCUUUUUGAGACAGGGUUUUGCUCUGUCACCAAGGCUGGAGUGCAGUGGCGCAGUCACAACUCAUUGCAGCCUCCAUCUCCUGGGCUCAAGCAAUCCUCCCACCUCAGCCUCUAGAGUAGCUAGGACUACAGGUGCACACCACCAUGCCUGGCUAAUUUUUUUUUUUUUGGUAGAGAUAGUGUCUUGCUAUGUUGCCCAGGCUGGUCUUGAACUCCUGGCCUCAAGCGAUCCUUCCAACUUGGCCUCCCAAAGCACAAGGAUUACAGGCAUGAGCCAUUGCACCAAGCAGAAACGUGUUUAAGGCUCUUAAAAAUUAUUAGAAAAUAUUGCUAACUUUUCUUCCAGAAAGGUUUUACCAAUGCAUGCUUUCAUCAGCAAUGUGUAGGAAGUAUUUCAUUGCAGCCUCAGCAAUACUGCAUAUAUUCAUUUCAAAAACAUAGCCAGCUUGCAAAAAAAUGUAUUUGGUGGUAGCAUUUCAUUAAUAAUGAAGUCACAGUUUUUCUAUGUACUGAUUUCUGACUUCUAUGAUUCUAUUUACUUGAAACUGUAGAACAUAUAUAGAGUUUUUUGGAUAUUUCUAUUACGUCUAUAUGUUGUUUUACUUUGUAAGUUCUUUUUUGAGACAGACUCUCACUCUGUCGCCCAGGCUGGAGUGCAGUGGUGGGAUGUCGGCUCACUGCAACCUCCGCCUCCCGGGUUCAAGAGAUUCUCCUGUCUCAGCCUCCUGAGUAGCUGGGACUACAGGCACCCACCACCACACCCAGCUAAUCUUUUUUGUACUUUUAGUAGAGACGAGUUUUCACCAUGUUAGCCAGGAUGGUCUUGAUCUCCUGACCUCGUGAUCUGCCCGCCUCAGCCUCCCAAAGUGCUGGGAUUACAGGAAUGAGCCACUGCACCUGGCCAACUUUGUAAGUUCUUUACUCAUUUUUCUUACAGAGGGUUAAUAUUUUUCUUGUUGAUUUUUAUGAACUCUUUAUAUAUUGAAGAUGUUAACUCCUUAAACACACACACACAGAGAAGAAAAGAUGGAAAGAGGGUCAUAGAGUGGGCAGAUAUUGGUAGGAGGGUAGACAGCAACUUUGAUGUGUACGUUAGCUUCACACUCAGGGUUUGUAAUGCAGUUCUCUCUUUUUUUUUUUUUUUUUUUUUUUUUGAGACUGAGUCUCACUCUGUGUCGCCUGGCUGGAGUGCUGUGGCACAAUCUCAGCUCACCGCAACCCCUGCCUCCCAGCUUCCAGCGAUUCUCCUGCCUCAGCCUCCUGAGUAGCUGGGAUUACAGGUGUGCGCCACCAUGCCCAGCUAAUUUUUGUAUUUUUAGUAGAGACAGGGUUUCACCACAUUGGUCAGGCUGGUCUCGAACUCCUGAUCUCAGGUGAUCCACCUGCCUUGGCCUCCUAAAGUGCUGGGAUUACAGGCGUUAGCCACCACGCCCGGCCUGUAAUGCAGUUCUUAACUGGUGACUCUGGGAGCUGGGCUGUGUUAUCUCAUCUCCAGUAUGUGACAGCCGAGGUCAUGGUGGAGGGAGGAGAAAGAACACUCAGGACAUGACGCCCAGGCCUGGACGUGGCAUGCAUUACUUCCAUCUACAUUCUAUUCACCAGACCCCAGGCCGAUUGUCCCAGUCUAACGGUGCAGAAGGCUGAGAAACAUGACCUUGUGUGCAAAGGAAGGAAAAAGGGAACUGUGAGCCCCUGUUCAUUUUCUGCCACCCUACCCUAACCAUCCUGUGUUAACUUGCGAAACACCCCAGCCCUCUUCACCCCGUCCCUUGUUUGUCUGUGUUUUUCUUUUCCAUAGCCCUUAUUUUUGACAUGCUGUAUAUAUUCAUUUAUUAUGUUAUUGUCAGUCCUCCCCCACAAGAAUAUAAGCUCUGCCAGGUUAGGGAUUUCUGUCAAUUUUGUUCACUGACUCAGAAAAGCACCUGGCAUCAUAUUAGUUAAGCAGACAUUGCCUGGUGCUAUUUCACGGUGCUAAGUGCCCACACGUUUCCCACACUUUCUCUAGCGCAUUCUUCCUCCAUCGCCCGCUCCCAGCACCUGGCCAGGCUUCCAACUUCAGCCCAUGAUCCUCAUCCUGCUUGAAGCCCUCCAUGACCGCACCCCCCCAACCUCCCACAGAACUGAUUGUGCCCUUCUUUGUGACAUGGUCAUGCCUUGUACCAAACUCUACUCUGCAUUUAUCCCACUAUUUUACAAUUGUGAAUUUGUUUGUCUUCCCUAUACAAAAAUGAGCUCCUGUAAGACCUGGCCAAGUUAAAGACGUCAUAGUAUCAGUUGAAUGAAUGAAUGGAUGAAUAAAUAAUUGGAUAGGCCAACCAAUUCUUCACAAUUUGGACAGUUUUUAAAACACCCCAGUGAAGUUUGAAUAUGGACUGGGUACAAAUAACACUGUUAAAUUUGUUAGGAGUAAUAAUGACAUUAGAGUUAUAAUGUAUCUGACAUUCUACAUUAUAUAAUGUAUAUAUACUAUAUUUAUAUGGUUAUAUAAAGUAUAUAUUAUAUAACAGACAUAUAUUUUAUAAUAUAUGUUCAUUGGAGAUAUAUCCUGAACUACAGGUGAACUGAUAAGAUGCCUAAGGUUUGCAAUAAAAGAAAAUGGAAUCAGCUUGGGCACGGUGGCUCACGCGUGUAAUCCCAGCACUUUGGGAGGCCUAGGCCGGUG